rnacentral:rRNA from 1 species
CCUACGGGAGGCAGCAGUGGGGAAUAUUGCGCAAUGGAGGAAACUCUGACGCAGCAACGCCGCGUGAAGGAUGAAGGUUUUCGGAUUGUAAACUUCUGUCGCGAGGGAUGAAGGAUGACGGUACCUCGUAAGAAUGCCUCGGCGAACUACGCGCCAGCAGCAGCGGUAAUAUGUAGGGGGCGAGCGUUGUUCGUAAGGACGGGGCGUAAAGGGAGGGUAGUCGGCAUAUGAAGUGAUGUGUGAAAGCCCGCGGCUCAACGGCGGAAUUGCACAUAAAACUGGUAAGCUGGAGUGCAGGAGAGGUAAGUGGAAUUCCAGGUGUAGGGGUGGAAUGCGUAGAUAUCGGGAGGAACAGCAGAGGCGAAGGCGACUAACUGGCAUGUAACUGACGCUGAGGAGCGAAAGCGUGGGGAGCAAACAGGAUUAGAUACCCUAGUAGUC